rnacentral:sRNA from 1 species
AUCUGGCUUUAAAUAUUAGUCAGUUUCAUGGCUAUGACUAGAUUGUUUUCUUGUAUAACUAAAUACCUGUAUAAAAUGAACUAAUGUUUUCUCUCCCCUCCCUACCCCUUCCUUAUGAACAAUGCUUUAGGUAUAUUGAAAUCUUUAAGAGCAGUAGAGCUGAAGUUAGAACUCACUAUGAUCCACCACGAAAGCUUAUGGCCAUGCAGCGGCCAGGUCCCUAUGACAGACCUGGGGCUGGCAGAGGGUAUAACAGCAUUGGCAGAGGAGCUGGCUUUGAGAGGAUGAGGCGUGGUGCUUAUGGUGGAGGUACGUGAGGAUUCGCAAGGUUUGGCAAGUAGUCUGUUCCUUUGUCUAGGUGUUUUGAUUGAUUGUACUUUGUCUUUCAGGCUAUGGAGGCUAUGACGAUUACAAUGGCUAUAAUGAUGGCUAUGGAUUUGGGUCAGAUAGAUUUGGAAGAGGUAAGGUAAGAAUUGAAUUUCUCAGUUGAAGGAUGCUUACACUCUUGUCCAUCUAGACCUCAAUUACUGUUUUUCAGGAAUGUCUGAUCACAGAUACGGGGAUGGUGGCUCUACUUUCCAGAGCACAACAGGACACUGUGUACACAUGCGUGGAUUACCUUACAGAGCUACUGAGAAUGACAUUUAUAAUUUUUUUUCACCGCUCAAUCCUGUGAGAGUACACAUUGAAAUUGGUCCUGAUGGCAGAGUAACUGGUGAAGCAGAUGUCGAGUUCGCAACUCAUGAAGAUGCUGUGGCAGCUAUGUCAAAAGACAAAGCAAAUAUGCGUAAGUGUGAUUGAGCAUUUGUGGGCUCUUAACAGGUGAUUGUGUGACUAACAUUUACAAUAGAAAAAUGGAAAAAUAAGGAUAUAUGAGAAGUUUCCUCUCCAGUAAUAGAUUAAUUCUUGGGGGAUGGGCAGUGUGUUGAAGGUUUGGGUUUUAAAAAUUAGUAUAACAGAUUUGUGAUAUGCACAUCUUGAAGUGUAUAUCCUUAAUUGACAAUAUAGAUGAAUAUGUAAAGGCUAGAUUUUGGAGUUAAAGUAGAUCACCUAAGAGAAGUAGCUAGAAUUUUCUUUGCCAAAGUAUUUGAAGUUCACAGAUCUGCUUGUUUAAAAACUUUAUAAAAGUGCUUACUCUGUUUUGUUUCACCAACAAACAUUUUCAAACUUUUUUUUUCUCAUUUCAGAACACAGAUAUGUAGAACUCUUCUUGAAUUCUACAGCAGGAGCAAGCGGUGGUGCUUACGGUAGCCAAAUGCUAGGAGGCAUGGGUUUGUGUAAAUAUCACUUUAGUGUCUUUUUUUAAGCUAACCUUGUAUGCCUUUUCUCUCAUUUCAGAACACAGAUAUGUAGAACUCUUCUUGAAUUCUACAGCAGGAGCAAGCGGUGGUGCUUAUGGUAGCCAAAUGAUGGGAGGCAUGGGCUUGUCAAACCAGUCCAGUUACGGGGGCCCAGCCAGCCAGCAGCUGAGUGGUGGUUAUGGAGGCGGCUAUGGUGGCCAGAGCAGCAUGAGUGGAUACGACCAAGUUUUACAGGAAAACUCCAGUGAUUUUCAAUCAAACAUUGCAUAGGUAACCAAGGAGCAAUGAACAGCAGCUACUACAGUAGUGGAAGCCGUGCAUCUGUGGGCGUGAACGGAAU